rnacentral:lncRNA from 1 species
GCCCGAUCUCGUAUGAUCUCGGAAGCUAAACAGAGUUGGGCUGGGUCAGUACUUGGAUGGGUGACCGCCUGGGAAUACCCGGUGCUGUAAGCAUUUUGUUUCCUUCUUAAUUAGCAAAAUGAAGACAUAAUUAGAACAGUCCGCGUAUAUUAAGAAAAGACAAUUCAUUGUGUUUUACUUUAAUAAACAGCAAGUGUAUAUGCUCUAUUUAGAUUACGGCCAUACCACCCUGACAACGCCCGAUCUCGUCUGAUCUCGGAAGCUAAGCAGAGUUGGGCUGGGUCAGUACUUGGGUGGAUGACUGCCUGGGAAUACCCCGUGCUGUAAGCAUUUUGUUUCCUUCUUAAUUAGCUAAAUGAAGACAUGAAUAGAACUGUCCGCGUAUAUUAAGAAAAGACAAUUCAUUGUGUUUUACCUUCAAUAAACAGCAAGUGUAUAUGCUGUAUUUCAGAUUACGGCCAUACCACACUGACAAUGCCCGAUCUCGUCUGAUCUCGGAAGCUAAGCAGAGUUGGGCUAGAUUACGGCCAUACCACACUGACAAUGCCCGAUCUCGUCUGAUCUCGGAAGCUAAGCAGAGUUGGGCUGGAUUACGGCCAUACCACACUGACAACGCCCGAUCUCGUCUGAUCUCGGAAGCUAAGCAGAGUUGGGCUGGGUCAGUACUUGGAUGGGUGACCGCCUGGGAAUACCCGGUGCUGUAAGCAUUUUGUUAACCUUCUUAAUUAGCAAAAUGAAGACAUGAAUAGAACUGUCCGCGUAUAUUAAGAAAAGACAAUUCAUUGGUUUUACCUUCAUAUAACAGCAAGUGUAUAUGCUCUAUUUAGAUUACGGCCAUACCACACUGACAACGCCCGAUCUCGUCUGAUCUCGGAAGCUAAGCAGAGUUGGGCUGGGUCAGUACUUGGAUGGGUGACCGCCUGGGAAUACCCGGUGCUGUAAGCAUUUUGUUUACCUUCUUAAUUAGCAAAAUGAAGACAUGAAUAGACUGUCCGCGUAUAUUAAGAAAGACAAUUCAUUGUGUUUUACCUUCAUAUAAACAGCAAGUGUAUAUGCUCUACUUUAGAAUUACGGCCAUACCACACUGACAACACCCGAUCUCAUCUGA